CACUCGCCCAGUCGCAAUUUGGGCUCGCGAAAGGCCCGGAAUCUCUCGCACGUUUAGGUCAGAUCGAAGUUGCGACGGUUCUCCCGAAGGCAAACAUGGCGUCCGGAACCGGAGGCAUCGAUCUGCUCUCCGUGUACAACGACGAGGAAGAGGAAGAGGAAGAGGAAGAGGAGGAGGUGCAGGUUGCGCCUCCGGCCACCUCGGCGGAUCCCGUCGCCGGAGCUGGUAGCGCCGAUGACGUCGAUGGAGGCACGAGGGCUGCCCUGCAGGACUUGUCAUUCGAGGCCACUCCGCCCCACGGCUUUCCUCGAUCCCCUCCUGUCGACGAUGCCAUGGAUUACGAAACCCUAAGGAGUCCCGUCGCCCGGAGCCCCACGCCGCCGCCGCUGCUCCCCUCUCAGCUACAGGCUUCUCCCCUCCCCGCAAUUUCCCCUUCUCCUCCGCUGCUGACGUCUUCUUCUCUUCCGGAGCCUCUGGAUUCUCAGAGGAUGAGGACGGGGUCACUUGCUAUCGUUGAUUAUGAACAUGAUGAGACCGCUAUGUCUCCCGAGCCCGAGGAGGGAGAGAUUUCGAGCAAUGGUCGUCUCAUGCUUGGAGCAGAGGUUCAAGUUCCUGAUGAUGAUAGAACGCCUCCAGGAACUGUCCACAUAUUAAUGCCAAACACUCAGCUAGAACCACUCCAACCUUCUGAUUUAUCUGAACAGCCUAGAUCUGAAAAUGGUAUGCCAAUGGAUGUUACUGGAUCUGUGACCGAAGUAACUCAGGUUGAAGAUGCUGUAGUUUCCAUGGAAGUGCAAAAGGAUGACCCAUUAAGUAGUUUUCUUCCUCCACCUCCAUCAACUGAAUGCCCUACGGAGCUACAGGAAAAGAUAAACAAGUUUCUUGCAUAUAAGAGGUGUGGGAAAAGUUUUAAUGCUGAUUUACGUAAUAGGAAGGAUUAUCGAAAUCCUGACUUCCUGCAGCAUGCUGUGAGGUAUCAAGAUAUAGACCAGAUUGGGACAUGCUUCAGUAAAGAUGUUUUUGACCCUCAUGGAUAUGACAAAAGUGACUACGUUGAUGAAAUAGAGAAUGAGAUGAGGCGUGAAAUGGAAAGGAAGGAGCAGGAAAGGAAAAAGAGUCAGAAAGUCGAUUUUGUUGCAGGUGGCACACAAACUGCCACUGUUGUUCCAUCAUUGAACAUUAACACACAAAAUUCAGCUUCAGUUGCAGUUGCUGCUUUAGCUGUAUUACCACCGGUUCCAACAACUGUAGAUGCGACAACAAGAGACGGUAGACAGAACAAGAAAACAAAAUGGGAUAAGGUAGAUGGUGAUAUAAAGAGCUCAACACUCUCUGGAGGACAUGACAAUCCAUCAACAACGAGUGUACAUGCAGCACUACUGUCUGCUGCCAAUGCUGGUGCUGGAUAUACAGCUUUUGCACAACAAAAGAGAAGAGAAGCAGAAGAAAAGAAGGUGGGUGAUAGGAAGUUUGACAAAAGAUCAUGACCUGAUUGAAGUUCUAGGAGAGGUUAUCCUUGCACCUAAAUAAUCUUUAUAUGGUACAAUUGUACUCCUUAUGCUUACCUUCCCUCCCCCC